CUAACAAGGAUUCCCUUAGUAACGGCGAGUGAAAAGGGAAGAGCCCAGCGCUGAAUCUUAUGUCCCCCGGGCAUAAAGACAUGUGGCGUUUGGGACGAGGCAUUGCUUGUACUAAUUGACCAUCCAAGUCCCUCUUGAACGGGGCCAUAGCCCAUGGAGGGUGCUAGGCCCGUACGAUGGUUUUUGUGUACAAUGCGUCUCGUCCGUAGAGUCGGGUUGCUUGGGAGUGCAGCCGAAAUCAGGUGGUAAACUCCAUCUAAGGCUAAA
rnacentral:rRNA from 1 species